AGCGAACGUUAGCGGCGCGCCUAACACAUGCAAGUCGCACGAGAAAGGGGGCAACCCCCGGUACAGUGGCGCACGGGUGAGUAACACGUGGGUGAUCUGCCCAGAAGAAGGGGAUAACCUCUCGAAAGGGGGGCUAAUACCGCAUAGGACCACCGGGGCUUUGGCUCUGUGGUGAAAGGGGGCCUCUGUUUACAAGCUCCUGCUUCUGGAUGAGCCCGCGUCCCAUCAGCUAGUUGGUCGGGUAAUGGCCUACCAAGGCUACGACGGGUUGCUGGUCUAAGAGGAUGGCCAGCCACACGGGAACUGAGACACGGUCCAGACUCCGACGGGAGGCAGCAGUGGGGAAUCUUGCGCAAGGGGCGAAAGCCUGACGCAGCGACGCCGCGUGGGUGACGAAGGCCUUCGGGUUGUAAAGCCCUGUGGGGUAGAACGAACUGGCAUCGGGCUAAUAUCUCGGUGUCUUGACGGUACUGCCUUAGCAAGCAUCGGCUAACUCUGUGCCAGCCGCCGCAGUAAAAC
rnacentral:rRNA from 1 species